rnacentral:rRNA from 1 species
AAAGGUAAGCUACUAAGAGCGAAUGGUGGAUGCCUUGACUGGUAAAGGCGAUGAAGGACGUACUAGACUGCGAUAAGCUACGGGGAGCUGUCAAGAAGCUUUGAUCCGUAGAUUUCCGAAUGGGGCAACCCAAUGUAUAGAGAUAUACAUUACCUAUAUAGGAGCGAACGAGGGGAAUUGAAACAUCUUAGUACCCUCAGGAAAAGAAAUCAAUAGAGAUUGCGUCAGUAGCGGCGAGCGAAAGCGCAAGAGGGCAAACCCAGUGCUUGCACUGGGGGUUGUAGGACUGCAAUGUGCAAGAGGUAAGUUUAGCAGAACAUUCUGGAAAGUAUAACCAUAGAGGGUGAUAGUCCCGUAUGCGAAAAACAAACCUUAGCUAGCAGUAUCCUGAGUAGGGCGGGACACGAGGAAUCCUGUCUGAAUCCGGGUCGACCACGAUCCAACCCUAAAUACUAAUACCAGAUCGAUAGUGCACAAGUACCGUGAGGGAAAGGUGAAAAGAACUGAGGUGAUCAGAGUGAAAUAGAACCUGAAACCAUUUGCUUACAAUCAUUCAGAGCCCUAUGUAGGAAUACAGGGUGAUGGACUGCCUUUUGCAUAAUGAGCCUGCGAGUUGUGGUGUCUGGCAAGGUUAAGCAAACGCGAAGCCGUAGCGAAAGCGAGUCUGAAUAGGGCGCUUAGUCAGAUGCUGCAGACCCGAAACGAAGUGAUCUAUCCAUGAGCAAGUUGAAGCUAGUGUAAGAACUAGUGGAGGACUGAACCCAUAGGCGUUGAAAAGCCCCGGGAUGACUUGUGGAUAGGGGUGAAAGGCCAAUCAAACUUCGUGAUAGCUGGUUCUCUCCGAAAUAUAUUUAGGUAUAGCGUUGUGUCGUAAUAUAAGGGGGUAGAGCACUGAAUGGGCUAGGGCAUACACCAAUGUACCAAACCCUAUCAAAC